rnacentral:rRNA from 1 species
AGCGAACGCUGGCGGCAGGCCUAACACAUGCAAGUCGAACGAACCCUUCGGGGUUAGUGGCGGACGGGUGAAUAACACGUGGGAACGUGCCUUUAGGUUCGGAAUAACUCAGGGAAACUUGUGCUAAUACCGAAUGUGCCCUUCGGUGGAAAGAUUUAUCGCCUUUAGAGCGGCCCGCGUCUGAUUAGCUAGUUGGUGAGGUAAAGGCUCACCAAGGCUACGAUUAGUAGCUGGUCUGAGAGGAUGACCAGCCACAUUGGGACUGAGACACGGCCCAAACUCCUACGGGAGGCAGCAGUGGGGAAUCUUGCGCAAUGGGCGAAAGCCUGACGCAGCCAUGCCGCGUGGAUGAUGAAGGUCUUAGGAUUGUAAAAUCCUUUCACCGGUGAAGAUAAUGACUGUAGCCGGAGAAGAAGCCCCGGCUAACUUCGUGCCAGCAGCCGCGGUAACAC